AACGAACGCUGGCGGCAUGCCUAACACAUGCAAGUCGAACGAGACCUUCGGGUCUAGUGGCGCACGGGUGCGUAACGCGUGGGAACCCGCCCUUAGGUUCGGAAUAACUCCCCGAAAGGGGUGCUAAUACCGGAUAAUGUCUUCGGACCAAAGAUUUAUCGCCUUUGGAUGGGCCCGCGUUGGAUUAGCUAGUUGGUAGGGUAAAAGCCUACCAAGGCGACGAUCCAUAGCUGGUCUGAGUGGAUGAUCAGCCACACUGGGACUGAGACACGGCCCAGACUCCUACGGGAGGCAGCAGUGGGGAAUAUUGGACAAUGGGCGAAAGCCUGAUCCAGCAAUGCCGCGUGAGUGAUGAAGGCCUUAGGGUUGUAAAGCUCUUUUACCCGGGAUGAUAAUGACAGUACCGGGAGAAUAAGCUCCGGCUAACUCCGUG
rnacentral:rRNA from 1 species